AUUGAACGCUGGCGGCAUGCCUUACACAUGCAAGUCGAACGGUAACGGGCCUUCGGGUGCCGACGAGUGGCGAACGGGUGAGUAAUACAUCGGAACGUGCCCGAUCGUGGGGGAUAACGAGGCGAAAGCUUUGCUAAUACCGCAUACGAUCUACGGAUGAAAGCCGGGGACCGCAAGGCCUUGCGCGGACGGAGCGGCCGAUGGCAGAUUAGGUAGUUGGUGGGAUAAAAGCUUACCAAGCCGACGAUCUGUAGCUGGUCUGAGAGGAUGAUCAGCCACACUGGGACUGAGACACGGCCCAGACUCCUACGGGAGGCAGCAGUGGGGAAUUUUGGACAGUGGGCGCAAGCCUGAUCCAGCCAUGCCGCGUGCAGGAUGAAGGCCUUCGGGUGGUAAACUGCUUUUGUACGGAACGAAAAGCCUUCUUUUAAUACAGGAGGGUCAUGACGGUACCGUAAGAAUAAGCACCGGCUAACUACGU
rnacentral:rRNA from 1 species